UACAGAGGUCUCAAGCGUUUGUUCGGAUUCAUUGGGCGUAAAGGGUGCGUAGGCGGCGCGGUAAGUCGGGUGUGAAAUCUCGGAGCUUAACUCCGAAACUGCAUUCGAUACUGCCGUGCUUUGAGGACUGGAGAGGAGACUGGAAUUUACGGUGUAGCGGUGAAAUGCGUAGAUAUCGUAAGGAAGACCAGUGGCGAAGGCGG
rnacentral:rRNA from 1 species